rnacentral:rRNA from 1 species
AACGGUGGCUAAUACCCGAUGGUCUCGAUAAUCGGUUUAUCGAGUAAAGGCUCCGGCGCUUUGAAGGGACUGCGGCCAUCAGCUAGUUGGUAGGGUAAUGGCUACCAAGGCAAAGACGGGUAGGGGCGUGAGAGCGUGACCCCCACACUGGCCUGGGACACGGGCCAGACUCCUACGGGAGGCAGCAGUGAGAAUAUUGCGCAUGAGCGAAAGCUAGACGCAGCAACGCGCGUGGGUGAUGAAGGCCUUCGGGUCGUAAAACCCUUUUCUGAGGGAAGAGUAAGGACGGUACCCCAGGAAUAAGCCUCGGCUAACUAUGUGCCAGCAGCCGCGGUAAUACAUAGGAGGCAAGCGUUAUCCGGAUUUACUGGGCGUAAAGAGCGUUGAGGCGGCUUCGUAAGUUGGACGUGAAAGCUCCCGGCUUAACUGGGAGAGGCCGUUCAAUACUGCGGGGCUUGAGGACAGCAGAGGGGGGUGGAAUUUCCGGUGUAGUGGUGAAAUGCGUAGAUAUCGGAAGGAACACCAGUGGCGAAGUGCGGCCCCCUGGGCUGCUCCUGACGCUGAAGGCGAAAGCUAGGGUAGGGAACGGGAUUAGAAAGCCCGGUAGUCCUAGCCGUAAACGAUGGAUACUAGGUGUAGGAGGUUAAAAUUCCUUCUGUGCCGGAGCUAACGCGUUAAGUAUCCCGCCUGGGGAGUACGGUCGCAAGGCUAAUACUCGAAGGAAUCGACGGGGGCCCGCACAAGCAGCGGAGCGUGUGGAUUAAUUCGAUGCAACACGAAGAACCUUACCAGGGCUUGACAUGUAGGUAGUAGUGAAGCGAAAGCGGAACGAUCCUUCGGGAAGCCUACACAGGUGCUGCAUGGCUGUCGUCCGCUCGUGCCGUGAGGUGUUAGGUUAAGUCCUGUAACGAGCGCUACCCCUGCCGUUAGUUACAAGUGUCUAACGGGACUGCCCGGCAAAACUGGGAGGAAGGUGGGGAUGACGUCAAGUCAGCAUGGCCUUUAUGUCCUGGGCUACACACACGCUACAAUGGCCGGUACAAUGGGUUGCCAAGCCGCGAGACGGAGCCAAUCCUCUAAAGCCGGUCUCAGUUCGGAUUGUAGGCUGCAACCCGCCUGCAUGAAGUUGGAGUUGCUAGUAACCGCAGGUCAGCCACA